rnacentral:rRNA from 1 species
CGAACGGGUGAGUAGCACGUGGGCAACCUACCCUUCUGUGGGGGACAACUCCGGGAAACCGGGGCUAAUACCGCAUUCGGUCACCGAUCGCAUGUCUGGUGAAGAAAGCAGCAAUGCGCAGAAGGAUGGGCCCGCGGCCUAUCAGCUAGUUGGUGGGGUAACGGCCUACCAAGGCGAAGACGGGUAGCUGGUCUGAGAGGACGACCAGCCACACGGGGACUGCGACACGGCCCCG